rnacentral:RNase_P_RNA from 1 species
GCUCCCGGUUGGGCGGCCGCGCCCGGGAUUUUCCCGGGUGAGGAAAGUCCGGGCUUCACAGGGCAGGGCGCCGGUUAACGACCGGCGGGGGCGACCCCAGGGACAGCGCAACAGAGACAAGACCGCUCCUGAAAAAUGCUGGUCGGGAAAAUGCGGUUCGGAAAAACGCGGGUCGGAAAAACGCGGAUUCAGGCGUUUUCCCAGCCGUUUUUCCUAGCAUUUUUCCUGCAUUUUUCCUGCAUUUUUCAAGCAAGGGUGAAAAGGCGAGGUAAAAGCUCACCGGUCUUCCGGCGACGGGAGGCGUCAAUGCAAGCCCCGCCCGAAGCAAGAUCAAGAGACGGCUCGCGGAGACAGCGUCCGCGCGGGAUUGCCCGUCCCGGCAAGCCGACGGUGGAUCGCGCGACCCUUCCGGCGACGGAAGGGCUAGACAGAUGGCCGCCGCGACAUUUUAUGUCAGACAGAACCCGGCUUACAGUCCGGAAGCCGAC